ensembl:snoRNA SNORD58 Small nucleolar RNA SNORD58
CUGCAGUGAUGACCUUCUUAGGACACCUUUGGAUUAAAGAUGAAACUAAAUCUAGUAACCUGAGCAGC